UGGGGAAUUUUGGACAAUGGGGGAAACCCUGACCCAGCCAUCCCGCGUGUGCGAUGAAGGCCUUCGGGUUGUAAAGCACUUUUGGCAGGAAAGAAACGUCAUGGGUUAAUACCCCGUGAAACUGACGGUACCUGCAGAAUAAGCACCGGCUAACUACGUGCCAGCAGCCGCGGUAAUACGUAGGGCGCAAGCGUUAAUCGGAAUUACUGGGCGUAAAGCGUGCGCAGGCGGUUCGGAAAGAAAGAUGUGAAAGCCCAGAGCUCAACUUUAGAACUGCAUUUUUAACUACCGUGCUAGAGUGUGUCAGAGGGAGGUGGAAUUCCGCGUGUGGCAGUGAAAUGCGUAGAUAUGCGGAGGAACACCGGUGGCGAAGGCAGCCUCCUGGGAUAACACUGACGCUCAUGAACGAAAGCGUGGGGAGCAAACAGA
rnacentral:rRNA from 1 species